rnacentral:rRNA from 1 species
CCAAUAGCGUAUAUUAAAGUUGUUGCAGUUUAAAAGCUCGUAGUUGAAUUUUAGGCCUGGCCGGGCGGUCCGUCUUUGGCGAGUACUGUCCUGUGUCGGGUCCACCUUCUGGUGAACCAGUAUGUCCUUUAUUGGGUGUGCCGGGGAGCCAGGACCAUUACCUUGAAAAAAUUAGAGUGUUUAAAGCGGGCAUUUGCUUGAAUAGAUUAGCAUGGAAUAAUAGAAUAGGACGUUGUGGUUCUAUUUUGUUGGUUUCUAGGACCACCGUAAUGAUUAAUAGGGAUAGUUGGGGGCAUUAGUAUUCAAUUGUCAGAGGUGAAAUUCUUGGAUUUAUUGAAGACUAACUAUUGCGAAAGCAUUUGCCAAGGAUGUUUUCAUUAAUCAAGAACGAAAGUUAGGGGAUCGAAGACGAUCAGAUACCGUCGUAGUCUUAACCAUAAACUAUGCCGACUAGGAAUCGGGCGACGUUAUUUUCAUGACUCGCUCGGCGCCUUAUG